rnacentral:rRNA from 1 species
CCAGACUCCUACGGGAGGCAGCAGUGGGGAAUAUUGCGCAAUGGGGGCAACCCUGACGCAGCCAUGCCGCGUGAAUGAAGAAGGCCUUCGGGUUGUAAAGUUCUUUCGGUAGCGAGGAAGGCAUUUAGUUUAAUAAACUGGAUGAUUGACGUUAACUACAGAAGAAGCACCGGCUAACUCCGUGCCAGCAGCCGCGGUAAUACGGAGGGUGCGAGCGUUAAUCGGAAUAACUGGGCGUAAAGGGCACGCAGGCGGUGACUUAAGUGAGGUGUGAAAGCCCCGGGCUUAACCUGGGAAUUGCAUUUCAUACUGGGUCGCUAGAGUACUUUAGGGAGGGGUAGAAUUCCACGUGUAGCGGUGAAAUGCGUAGAGAUGUGGAGGAAUACCGAAGGCGAAGGCAGCCCCUUGGGAAUGUACUGACGCUCAUGUGCGAAAGCGUGGGGAGCAAACAGGAUUAGAUACCCUGGUAGUCCACGCUGUAAACGAUGUCGAUUUGGGGGUUGAGCUUUAAGCUUGGCGCCCGUAGCUAACGUGAUAAAUCGACCGCCUGGGGAGUACGGCCGCAAGGUUAAAACUCAAAUGAAUUGACGGGGGCCCGCACAAGAU